GUGAGGAAUAUUGGUCAAUGGACGAGAGUCUGAACCAGCCAAGUCGCGUGAAGGAAGACGGUUCUAUGAAUUGUAAACUUCUUUUGUGCAGGAAUAAAGUGGGUUACGUGUAACCUUUUGUAUGUACUGUACGAAUAAGGAUCGGCUAACUCCGUGCCAGCAGCCGCGGUAAUACGGAGGAUCCGAGCGUUAUCCGGAUUUAUUGGGUUUAAAGGGUGCGUAGGUGGAUUGAUAAGUCAGCGGUGAAAGUUUGCAGCUUAACUGUCAAAUUGCCGUUGAAACUGUCGGUCUUGAGUGCAAAUGAGGUAGGCGGAAUGUGUUGUGUAGCGGUGAAAUGCUUAGAUAUAACACAGAACUCCGAUUGCGAAGGCAGCUUACUGGGAUGCAACUGACACUGAUGCACGAAAGCGUGGGUAUCAAACAGGAUUAGAAACCCUGGUAGUCC
rnacentral:rRNA from 1 species